rnacentral:rRNA from 1 species
UGGGGGAUAUUGCACAAUGGGGGGAACCCUGAUGCAGCGACGCCGCGUGGGUGAAGGAGCGUUUCGGCGCGUAAAGCCCUAUCGGCAGGGAAGAAGGAGGACGGUACCUGACUAAGAAGCCCCGGCUAACUACGUCGCC